rnacentral:rRNA from 1 species
GACGAACGCUGGCGGCGUGCUUAACACAUGCAAGUCGAACGAAGUGGCGAACGGGUGAGUAACGCGUAAUCAACCUGCCCUUCAGAGGGGGACAACAGUUGGAAACGACUGCUAAUACCGCAUACGGAAGGAGGGGAUUGCGUCGGAUUAGCUAGUUGGAGGGGUAACGGCCCACCAAGGCGAUGAUCAGGAGGCGGUCCGGUGGGAUGAACGGGCACAUUGGGACUGAGAAACGGCCCAGACUCCUACGGGAGGGAGCAGUGGGGAAUCGUCCGCAAUGGACGAAAGUCCGACGGAGCAACGCCGCUUGAGUGAUGACGGCCUUCGGGUUGUAAAGCUCUGUUAAUCGGGACGCGGUACCGGAAUAGAAAGCCACGGCUAACUACGUGCCAGCAGCCGCGGUAAUAC